rnacentral:tRNA from 1 species
GCGGGGAUGUCGGAGCGGUCAAACGAAGUAGCCUAAGAAGCUAUUGGCUUAGUGCCUGCGCAGGUUCGAACCCUGCUUCCCGCA